GUGUAGGCGGAACGGUAAGUACCUUGUGAAAUCCCCGGGCUUAACUCGGGAAUUGCUGGGUAUACUGUCGUUCUUGAGGUAGGCAGGGUCACUGGAACCUUAGGUGGAGCGGUGAAAUGCGUAGAUAUCUAAGGGAACGCCUGUGGCGAAAGCGGGUGACUGGGCCUAUUCUGACGCUGAGACCCGAAAGCGUAGGUAGCGAACG
rnacentral:rRNA from 1 species